AUGGAUAAUGUGCUUCCAGGUGAUUAUCAGCAUAAUUGGUCUUCUUUUAUUUGGGAAAUUAUUAGAGCCUUUAAGGGGAACAAUGGAGUUAUCAAAGUUCGUUUUAUUGUCAACUUCUCAACUUCAAUGUGUGUCUUCGUAACUGCUAUUGCUGUGUACUAUGUAACACAACAAGAGAGCUACCUGUACACUCCUCUUUCUGGUUUUUAUGGGGUUCUGUCAGGAUUGCUGGUGGGCAUCAAGCAACUUAUGCCAGAGAUGGAGCUUAAUCUUUUCGUGCUGAAGAUUAAGGGAAAGUGGAUCCCAUCUCUUACUGCACUAAUUUCCGUUGUUGUAAGCUUCUUCAUGAAGGACUUGGUAUCUUACCUCCCAGUUAUACUGUUUGGCAUUUACUAG
rnacentral:rRNA from 1 species